rnacentral:rRNA from 1 species
CAGGACGAACGCUGGCGGCGUGCUUAACACAUGCAAGUCGAACGAUGAUGCUGCAACUUGUUGUGGUGGAUUAGUGGCGAACGGGUGAGUAACACGUGAGUAACCUGCCUUUCACUCUGGGAUAAGCCUUGGAAACGAGGUCUAAUACUGGAUAUUACUUCUUGCCGCAUGGUGGGGGGUGGAAAGCCUUCGGGUGGUGAAUGAUGGACUCGCGGACUAUCAGCUUGUUGGUGGGGUUGUGGCCUACCAAGGCAAUGACGGUUAGCCGGCCUGAGAGGGUGACCGGCCACAUUGGGACUGAGAUACGGCCCAAACUCCUACGGGAGGCAGCAGUGGGGAAUAUUGCACAAUGGGCGAAAGCCUGAUGCAGCGACGCCGCGUGGGGGAUGAAGGCCUUCGGGUUGUAAACUCCUUUCGCUCGUGACGAAGUCUCUUCGGGGGUGACGGUAGCGGA